rnacentral:rRNA from 1 species
UACAGAGGUCCCAAGCGUUGUUCGGAUUCACUGGGCGUAAAGGGUGCGUAGGUGGUGUGGUAAGUCGGAUGUGGAAGCUCCGAGCUCAACUCGGAAAUGGCAUUGGAAACUACCUUGCUCGAGGGUUUGAGGGGGGACUGGAAUACUUGGUGUAGCAGUGAAAUGCGUAGAUAUCAAGUAGAACACCAGUGGCGAAGGCGAGUCCCUGGAAAACUCCUGACACUGAGGCACGAAAGCUAGGGGAGCAAACAGG